AUUUGCACCAAAAUCAUCUGACUCCCAAGCCUCUUCUCUUAACUGCUAUGAUAUGUAGCCCCCGCCGUGUCCCCCCUCACCUAGUGGUCACAGUCCAGGUCCUUGGAGUCAAGACCAAACCUGAAUCUGAAGCCUAACUAAGCACUUAGUACUAAGGAGUUUAGACUGCUUCCCAAGCUUCAUCAAACACUGCAAUGGUCUUUCAAAACUCUCCUAGCCAUGAAAAAGGAUAUGAAAUAAUUGUAUCAAUGCUCUGCCAAGUACAUUUAAAUAUUUUGUUAUUGGUUGAAACAAAAUGCAAAUCUUGUGGGCCUCAUCCAAUGUGUUCAAAUGCAAAGAAAGAUACCAAGAAGAUGGAGAAACUGCAUCUCAGACAGACUAUGGUGAUGGGCCUGGACAAAGCUGCUGGCUUCUGAAAGUCUCUCCCACACUGAAGAGGGAGGAUGGUGCCACGACUUCUAGGUGGUGGGAAGACCCAGCUCCAGCGUGGGCUUCCACUCUUCUUCCCAGGAAAGAAUUGAAGGCAUAAAGAAAAUAGGUUGUUAAAUAUUUCAAAGUACAGAAAGGUGAAAGGAAUUCUGUAAAGAACACCCAUAUGCCUACUACUCAGCUAAAGAAAUGAAUCAUCACAAGUAUGGUUGAAGCCCCUGUAUACACCCUAUUCUGUUUUCCCAUACCCUAUCUUUCUCCCUUCUUCCAGAUACAAGUUUUUUUAUUUUAUUUUAUAUACAUUAAUGGGUCCCUAACCAAAAAAAAAAGUGUUCCUUUCAAGUUUUUAGACUACAUAAUAGAAUUCUG
rnacentral:lncRNA from 1 species